GCACAAGCGGUGGAUGAUGUGGAUUAAUUCGAUGCAACGCGAAAACCUUACCUACCCUUGACAUGUCCGGAAUCCCGAAGAGAUUUGGGAGUGCUCGCAAGAGAGCCGGAACACAGGUGCUGCAUGGCUGUCGUCAGCUCGUGUCGUGAGAUGUUGGGUUAAGUCCCGCAACGAGCGCAACCCUUGUCAUUAGUUGCCAUCAUUUGGUUGGGCACUCUAAUGAGACUGCCGGUGACAAACCGGAGGAAGGUGGGGAUGACGUCAAGUCCUCAUGGCCCUUAUGGGUAGGGCUUCACACGUCAUACAAUGGUCGGUACAGAGGGUUGCCAACCCGCGAGGGGGAGCUAGUCCCACAAAGCCGAUCGUAGUCCGGAUCGCAGUCUGCAACUCGACUGCGUGAAGUCGGAAUCGCUAGUAAUCGUGGAUCAGAAUGUCACGGUGAAUACGUUCCCGGGUCUU
rnacentral:rRNA from 1 species